GUAGAGAUGGCUCAGUGGUUAAGAGCACUGGCUGCUCUUCCAGAGGACCUGGGUUCAAAUCCCAGCACCCACA
rnacentral:tRNA from 1 species